CCUCCUGGGUAUUCUCGAAAUUCAGCUCUCGGUUCCUGGGAUCUUGGAAUCUGCUCACACGUGGCUUGUACGGCGGAGGUUGUCCGGUCAGCGGGUUGCGGAGGAUCCCGCAGGUAGCAAAGGGCGGGCGAGGGCCCCUGCGACCCCAGACUGCGACUAGAACAUCCGUCAUUGUUAGCCCCGCAGCUAGCUUGGACACCAUUAAAAGGGCUCAUCAGCUUCAAAUGAAUAAAAGUAUCUGAUAUUCAUGAAGACAGAGUUUCAGGGCUUCUACCAGGAGCUACACUCUCUAGAAGCCCCUGCUUGGCCUUCCUGCACCCAACCCCACCCCAACUAGUCACAACUUGGCUGUGUAUGGUGUUUCUUGGCAACUGGAACACAGACUCCUCCAGCAGCUCCACAGAUCCCUUGUCCUCAGUGAGCAGAAGACUACAGAAACUGUCUACUGAAGAGGCUGUCCAUGUGAUUGAGCUCGGCUCUGCUUAACACACUUACCACAGAGCAGUAACUGAGUGCUGGAUGUUACUCAUUCGUGCUCACCUCCUGCAGGUCACCCACUCCAUGACAUUCAUCCUUUAGUAUCUGCUCUUCGCUAAGGAGAAAACACCACCACCUGUCGUCUGUUAACCCGAGGACAGAAUGCCCAGGUGAGCCUGACUCACAGUACCUGUAUGUAGCUAACCUUGACCACGUGCUGCCAAAGCUCCUGCAAGCCCUCCCUCCAAGCACAGCAGCAGCCCAGCUCCGGAGCGGACAGGCAUUUCACCCCACAGAAGUGAUCUGCUGUCACCUACUCUUGGGGGGCAAAGGGGAUUAUGGGGAGAUUAGAAGAAGAUAGAUGGGCCUACUCCGUCAACCCAUAUUGUUAUCAGACAACUCAUCUGGAACAACCAGAACAGCCCCGCUGGUGCACUGACUGAGGGGAGCCACGUGUUUAGUUCCCUGCACUCCCGUGUGACCUCACCCACUGACUUCCCCAGAAGGGGCUCUUGUAACCCCUUCAGGAAGCUGAAGCCAGACAGUGACUGAGAGGUUCUGUCCAGCUCCUCCUCUCCUGGGCAGCUUCACCCAGGAGUAACUUCAGUAACCAGUGGGGUGUGUUCUCGCCACUCAGGUUUUCAAAACAAAACCAUAUAUUGUUUAGGGAUACUUACACAGGAAGC